CAGUGAGUAGGACAGUCAGGUAGUCUGUUUCCUUUGGAAGGAAAAGGUCGAGGGUUCAAAUCCCUCCUCGCUGACCA
rnacentral:tRNA from 1 species